ACGGGCAGCUAGCUCUCUGCAACUCUCACAUGGUUACCCACUGAAGCUAAGGAGGGCUGCGCCCGGUCAGUACCUGGAUGGGAGACCACAUGGGAAAGCUAGGUUGCUGCCAGAA
rfam:Danio rerio chromosome 5, GRCz11 reference primary assembly.